rnacentral:lncRNA from 1 species
UUUUAAGACAGGUCUUACUAUGUUGCCCAAGCUGGUCUUGAACUCCUGAACUCAAGCUGUCCUCUCACUUCAGCCUCCCUAAUAGCUGGGAUCAUUGCACCUGACACGUGCAAUGUCACACACCUAUGAUCCCAGCUAUUGUCUCAUCUCACUGAACCUAAUCUAUCUUUCCAAAUACAAUUUGAGGUAUAGAUUAGGAAGUCACCAGUAUACUCAUGAUAGUAGAAGCCAUGGGAAUGGAUAAGGUAAUCCACGUACAGUAUGUAUUACAGAAUGAGAAUAAAAUUCCUAGGAUAGAACUCUGAGGAGCACCAAGAUUUAAGAGGGAGGCAGAAAAAGUAGAGUCAGCUAAGGAAAUUGAGAAGAAAUGGUGACAGCAGAAAUAGCAUAAACAUAUGUGAUUAGGAGCCAGAGGAGGAAAGAAAGGAAGGAAAAGCUGUGGCCACCUGUGCCAAAUGCUGCUGAAAGAGAGAGGCCAAUUAACAUGAGGACUGGAAAGAGUUGACUGGAUUUGGCAAUUAAGAGAUCAUAAUCUUGGUGGAGACCUUUGCUGUAUUAGUUUUCUAUUGCUGCCUAACAUAUCACACAUUUAGAGGCUUAAAACAAUACACAUUUAUCUUAUAGUUUCUAUGGGUUAAAAGCUUGGACAUGUUUUAUCAAGGUUCUCUGCUUCAAGGUCUCACCAGGCUGUAAUCCAGGUAUUGGCUGGGGUUGUGUUCUUAUCAGAGGCUUGACUAGGAGAAGAUAUACUUCCAAAUUCCCUCUGGUUGUUGGAUGAACUCAUUUCUUGGUUAGGCAGAACUACAUUUUCCAGAAUUAUCUUCCCUCAAUGUUCUGGUUAGGGUAAGCCACAAGUCUUGAGCAAAAUUUGGAGGAUAAAUGUGAAGCAGCAGCUGUUUUAUAGCUCAUACAUGUGUUAGCUCACAAGCUGCAGCUGGACAACUUCCCAUCCCUUCCCUGGAUCACUCAUUUCUCUAACCAGGUUUCUCUAAACCACAUGUUUGUGUUGGAUAUGGGGUUACACAGGACAACCACUAUCAAGGCCAGAGAUGAUAAAAACGGACAUGGGUUUGUCUGUGCUUGUUACUUCCACUUGUUCUUAACUGCCUCCCAUUUUACACCCGUCUUCCCUUAACUGACUGCCGUGUGGACUCUAAGCUCCAGCAUCAGAAAGAACACUAACAGCUUUACAGAUGGUGUUUUAUAAUUUUUUGUUUAAUCAAUUUGAAAUAACUGCUGAUCCAAUCAAAUUAUCUUUAAGUAACAAAGAUAUCAAUCUGAUUUCAAUAUUAGAUUAGUACAUUAGCUACCAAUAUUGACUCAAAUGAUUAUUACAUAAAAUCUUAGGAAGUCAAUGAAAAUAGCAAUUACCCAUGAUAAAUAUUUUCAAAUAUUUCCUAUUGCGUAAUUUGUCCAUUUGAAUACAAAUAAAUCCUUGUACAAGUAUGGGAGAAUCAAAUGCAGAUAAACCUAUGAAGGGAAGAAUUUUCUAAUUUAUCUACAGGAUUUUUCUUCAAUUUAAAAAAAGAUUGUAAAAUACACAUAAAAUUUACCAUUUUUAAGUGUACCAUUUAAGAACAGUAUUAAAUACAUCCUUAAUGUGCCACCAUCACCACUAUCCAGCUCCAUAACUCAUCCUGUAAAACUGCAUAACGUCCUCAAGGUUCAUUCAUGCUGUAGCCAGUGUCAGAAUUUUCUUCCUUGAAGUGGAAUAAUAUUCCAUUGCAUGGAUAUACUACAUUUUGCUUAUCCAUUCAUCUACUGAUGGCCGAUUGGGCUGCUUCUAUGUUUUAGCUAUUGUGAACAAUGGCUGCUAUCACCAUGGAACACAAGUAUCUCUUCAAGACCCUGCUUUUAAUUUUUUUGAGUAUAUAUGUCGACUGGGAUUGCUGGAUCAUGGUAUUUCCAU